rnacentral:rRNA from 1 species
GGUUAAGCGACUAAGCGUACACGGUGGAUGCCCUGGCAGUCAGAGGCGAUGAAGGACGUGCUAAUCUGCGAAAAGCGUCGGUAAGGUGAUAUGAACCGUUAUAGCCGGCGAUGUCCGAAUGGGGAAACCCAGUGCAAUUCGUUGCACUAUCGUUUGAUGAAUACAUAGUCAAACGAGGCGAACCGGGGGAACUGAAACAUCUAAGUACCCCGAGGAAAAGAAAUCAACCGAGAUUCCCCCAGUAGCGGCGAGCGAACGGGGAGCAGCCCGGAGUCUGAAUCAGCUUGUGUGUUAGUGGAAGCGUCUGGAAAGUCGCAGGGUACAGGGUGAUACUCCCGUACACUAAAACACACAGGUUGUGAACUCGAAGAGUAGGGCGGGACACGUGGUAUCCUGUCUGAAUAUGGGGGGACCAUCCUCCAAGGCUAAAUACUCCUGACUGACCGAUAGUGAACCAGUACCGUGAGGGAAAGGCGAAAAGAACCCCGGCGAGGGGAGUGAAAAAGAACCUGAAACCGUGUACGUACAAGCAGUAGGAGCCCACU